GACGAACGCUGGCGGCGUGCUUAACACAUGCAAGUCGAACGGAAAGGCCCUGCUUUUGUGAGGUGCUCGAGUGGCGAACGGGUGAGUAACACGUGAGUAACCUGCCCUUGACUUUGGGAUAACUUCAGGAAACUGGGGCUAAUACCGGAUAGGAGCUCCUGCUGCAUGGUGGGGGUUGGAAAGUUUCGGCGGUUGGGGAUGGACUCGCGGCUUAUCAGCUUGUUGGUGGGGUAGUGGCUUACCAAGGGUUUGACGGGUAGCCGGCCUGAGAGGGUGACCGGGCACAAGGGGACUGCGAGAGGGCGCAGAAGGGUACGGGAGGCAGCAGUGGGGAAUAUGGCACAAUGGGGGGGAGCCUGAGGCAGCGACGUCGCGUGCGGGAAGACGGCCUUCGGGGUGUAAACCGCUGUCGCCUGUGACGAAGCGUGAGUGACGGUAAUGGGUAAAGAAGCACCGGCUAACUACGUG
rnacentral:rRNA from 1 species